rnacentral:rRNA from 1 species
CCUACGGGAGGCAGCAGUGAGGAAUAUUGGUCAAUGGCCGGAAGGCUGAACCAGCCAUGCCGCGUGAAGGUCAGUGCCCUAUGGGCGUUAAACUUCUUUUGUGCGGGAGCAAUAAUGGUCACGUGUGGCCAGACGAGAGUACCGUACGAAUAAGCAUCGGCUAACUCCGUGCCAGCAGCCGCGGUAAUACGGGGGAUGCAAGCGUUAUCCGGAGUUAUUGGGUUUAAAGGGUGCGUAGGCUGUGAGGUAAGUCAGCGGUGAAAUGCCCCCGCUCAACGGGGUGAAGUGCCAUUGAUACUGCCUUGCUGGAAUGCGGAUGAGGUGGGAGGAAUGUGUGGUGUAGCGGUGAAAUGCAUAGAUAUCACACAGAACACCGAUUGCGAAGGCAGCUCACGAAUCCGCGAUUGACGCUGAUGCACGAAAGCGUGGGUAUCAAACAGGAUUAGAUACCCCAGUAGUC